ACUUCCUGAGCCGGAACGAAAAGUUUUCUGAACCAGUCAUUUCAGACUCUUUUGGCUUUAGGUGGUGAUGUUGUGUUUGCAUUUGGUCUGUUUUUCAGACCUGAUUUAUUUCCUGUGAUAUACCCUGUCUGUCCAUAGUUUAUAUUUUUACAGCACCGCUUUAUGCGGUGUUUUUUUUU
rnacentral:other from 1 species